CAGGUUAUCUGAUAAUGCCUUCUCUGAUUGCCUUUCCUGGUAGUCUGCCCAUUCCUUUGAAAUGGUGAUUACCCAAUUCCUGAGACAAUAGGAAGGUUCCCUCCCUCCCUCCUUGCAGAGAAAACAUUUGGUCAGUUUGGGAGUCAAAAUGGUUUCAGGUCGGUCUUCCUGUGCUGCUCCAGACAUGUGGUCAACACAUCAAUGUGUGUGCUUGGCUGGUACACCUAUGAACAUUUAUUAUAUAUAUAUGUGUGUGUGUGUAUGUAUAUGACCUUAGGGAUGUGGGUGGCGCUGUGGGUUAAACCACAGAGCCUAGGACUUGCCGAUCAGAAGGUUGGUGGUUCGAAUCCCCGCAACGGGGUGAGCUCCCGUUGCUCGGUCCCUGCUCCUGCCAACCUAGCAGUUCGAAAGCACGUCAAAGUGCAAGUAGAUAAAUAGGUACCGCUCCAGCAGGAAGGUAAAUGGCAUUUUCGUGCACUGCUCUGGUUUGCCAGAAGCGGCUUACUCAUGCUGGCCACAUGACCCGGAAGCUGUACGCCAGCUCCCUCGGCCAAUAAAGUGAGAUGAGAGCCACAACCCCAGAGUCGGCCACAACUGGACCUAAUGGUGAGGGGUCCCUUUACCUUUAUAAGACCUUAAUUUUUUUAUUACACUCCCAAUCUGCAGCAAGGAGAACCAGUCAACAGAAUAUCCCUACCCUGGAGCUUCCUGGUCUACUGUCCGGUGUUGAGAUGCUCCUAGCGAAGAAGAUGGCAUGUGGAAGAAACCAGCCUUGUGACUGAAGUCUGCUUCCUUUUUCUCGGAGAACUAUCUAGGGAGCACCGGGUUGGCAAAGGCUGACUUGGAGCAGAGAUGUAAUUAAAAUUCACCAACCUCUCUUGACCUGGCAAAGGAAAUAAACAUUCUUCCCAGGUGGUUUAGCUGUGAAAUAUCUGCUGACACACAUCCCUGAAGUUUAUAGAGAUUCCCCUAAAUGCCAAGGACAGGAGUUGGCAAUUAAUUCACAGAUAACGGGC